UACGUAGGCGGCGAGCGUUGUCCGGAAUUAUUGGGCGUAAAGGGAGCGCAGGUGGGAAUGUAAGUCUUUCUUAAAAGUGCGGGGCUCAACCCCGUGAUGGGAAAGAAACUAUAUUUCUUGAGUGCAGGAGAGGAAAGCGGAAUUCCUAGUGUAGCGGUGAAAUGCGUAGAUAUUAGGAGGAACACCAGUGGCGAAGGCGGCUUUCUGGACUGUAACUGACACUGAGGCUCGAAAGCCAGGGGAGCGAACGGG
rnacentral:rRNA from 2 species